rnacentral:lncRNA from 1 species
GAUGCAUUAGGAUGAUCUUUUCAUUCCAGGUAUACCUAUCCUAGACAGGCCCGACCCCUUUAUUGAGCCUCCAAAGUCAAAUGCACAUGAUGCAAACAAACGUUCCUACUAGGGAUCCGGCAUGAGGUUUUGUUAUACUAGAUUUAAAACCUGGGUUUAUUGUUCUAGACCUGGUUACCCGAGUGGACAACUCGAGCCAGGGGAGGGGGCCAGCAUAACGGGAAUUUAGAAGCUUCACCGGCUUUGCAACUUGUCCGAACCUCGCUCAAAAAUUUGGGAUAAGACUCUAACAGAAAAGAAGUUACACGGAGUGCACACUUCUCGUAUGAUUUACAAAACUUAGAGAGAGGAGGGAUUCGUAGCAGUUUAUAUAUUGUUCAACAAUAUCAAAGCGGUAAAAGCAACAUUUAGCAUAUUAGGCUCAAACAUAUGAAUAAAACCAGAUAAUAAAUAAACCAAAAAUAACAAUUCAUCUAAGCUCGAAUUCUAGAAUUCUAAACCAGAGAUUCCGGGUUCUUAUCCCCAGUAGAGUCGCCAGAGCUGUCAUGCCUCCCUUUUUUACUACACCUCCGUAAGAGUACAAGAGUAUUUUUUCUAACUUAAAGUGGCAAUCAAAACGGGAUUUAUUUAUUUAAAGAUUCAGAGUUGUCACUUGGCAUAGUUUAUGGUGUCCCAAGUCACCAGUUUUAAAUCCCGAAUCGAGGAAAGAUUGACUCUGUUUUGCAGUCUGCGAACACAGAAAUUCAGGUAAGAAAUUCUGUUAACCCGGGAUAAGGUGUUAGUCAUUCUUGAGUUCCAUGGUUCUAGCACGAUCGCUCAACUGUUAUUAUUGGCCUAUUUUUCUAACUUUAAAAUAAUUUUAAACCUAUGUGCCUUUUAACUUUAAAACAGCUUUUAAUUAUUUAAGAAAGAUUUAAACGUCAUCUAAA